UACGUAGGGUGCGAGCGUUAAUCGGAAUUACUGGGCGUAAAGCGUGCGCAGGCGGCGCGUUAAGACAGGUGUGAAAGCCCCGAGCUUAACUUGGGAAUUGCGCUUGUGACUGGCGGGCUGGAGUGUGGCAGAGGGAGGUGGAAUUCCACGUGUAGCAGUGAAAUGCGUAGAGAUGUGGAGGAAUACCGAUGGCGAAGGCAGCCCCCUGGGAUAAUACUGACGCUCAUGCACGAAAGCGUGGGGAGCAAACAGG
rnacentral:rRNA from 1 species